rnacentral:rRNA from 1 species
ACUCAAAUGAAUUGACGGGGGCCCGCACAAGCGGUGGAGCAUGUGGUUUAAUUCGAUGAUACGCGAAGAACCUUACCCGGGCUUGACAUCCUCUAGACAGGCAUAGAGAUAUGCCCUCCUUUAUGGCUAGAGGACAGGUGUUGCAUGGUUGUCGUCAGCUCGUGUUGUGAAAUGUUGGGUUAAGUCCCGCAACGAGCGCAACCCUUACCUUAUGUUGCUACCAGUUCGGCUGGGCACUCUUAAGGUACCGCCGGUGAUAAACCGGAGGAAGGUGAGGAUGACGUCAAAUCAGCAUGGCCCUUACGUCCGGGGCUACACACGUGCUACAAUGGCCGGUACAGAGGGACGCCAAACCGCGAGGUGGAGCAAAUCUCAUAAAGCCGGUCCAAAUUCGGAUUGUAGUCUGCAACUCGACUACAUGAAGCCGGAAUCGCUAGUAAUCGCGAAUCAGCAAUGUCGCGGUGAAUACGUUCCCGGGCCUUGUACACACCGCCCGU